GAUCCUGGCUCAGGAUGAACGCUAGCGACAGGCUUAACACAUGCAAGUCGAGGGGCAUCACGGGAGUAGCAAUACAACUGGUGGCGACCGGCGCACGGGUGAGUAACGCGUAUGCAACCUACCUAUCAGAGGGGAAUAACCCGGCGAAAGUCGGACUAAUACCGCAUAAAACAGGGGCACUGCAUGGUGAUAUUUGUUAAAGAAAUUCGCUGAUAGAUGGGCAUGCGUUCCAUUAGGUAGUUGGUGAGGUAACGGCUCACCAAGCCGACGAUGGAUAGGGGAACUGAGAGGUUGGCCCCCACACUGGUACUGAGACACGGACCAGACUCCUACGGGAGGCAGCAGUGAGGAAUAUUGGUCAAUGGGCGGGAGCCUGAACCAGCCAAGUCGCGUGAAGGAAGAAGGAUCUAUGGUUCGUAAACUUCUUUUGCAGGGGAAUAAAGUGCAGGACGUGUCCUGUUUUGUAUGUACCCUGAGAAUAAGGAUCGGCUAACUCCGUGCCAGCAGCGGC
rnacentral:rRNA from 1 species